GAUCCUGGCUCAGGACGAACGCUGGCGGCGUGCCUAAUACAUGCAAGUCGAGCGGACAGAUGGGAGCUUGCUCCCUGAUGUUAGCGGCGGACGGGUGAGUAACACGUGGGUAACCUGCCUGUAAGACUGGGAUAACUCCGGGAAACCGGGGCUAAUACCGGAUGCUURUUUGAACCGCAUGGUUCAAAYAUAAAAGGUGGCUUCGGCUACCACUUACAGAUGGACCCGCGGCGCAUUAGCUAGUUGGUGAGGUAACGGCUCACCAAGGCAACGAUGCGUAGCCGACCUGAGAGGGUGAUCGGCCACACUGGGACUGAGACACGGCCCAGACUCCUACGGGAGGCAGCAGUAGGGAAUCUUCCGCAAUGGACGAAAGUCUGACGGAGCAACGCCGCGUGAGUGAUGAAGGUUUUCGGAUCGUAAAGCUCUGUUGUUAGGGAAGAACAAGUACCGUUCGAAUAGGGCGGUACCUKACGGUACCWACCAGAAAGCMGG
rnacentral:rRNA from 1 species